CUUAAGAUUGAUAUUAAAUGGAUAGGGGAAGAAAGUGAGAAUGAAGUUCAGAUCAUCCGGAAAAAAAAAUUCAGAUUUGACAUGUAUUAGUUAGUUGGCUUCAGAGCCUUCUUCAAGAUAAGAACCAAUCAUAUUUAAAUGUCUUUUCGGAGAGCCUAAACAUGAAGGUAUUCCACUAAAUUCCGUGGACAAACUAAUUGAGUGAGUAAAACUCUUGCAGUAUUGGCUGAUUAUUAUUACCACAAGUACGUAUGUGGAGUACAAAAACUGAAGGUGCUGAUGUGAAGUUGGACUGCAUUAGAAGUUUUCACCCUCACCAACACCUACCUCAAAACAAUUUGCAGUUUCAUUUGGAAUAUGCAUUUAACUUUUUUUAUAUGAUUAGAAUUCAUAGUUUGUUUGGAGAUUUAAUAUGUACAGUUUAUUAAUUAAUUCUUUCUUUUAAGAAUCA